rnacentral:rRNA from 1 species
AUGGCCCCUUGGGAUUAUAUAAGGGGUUUGGCCUGCCCACUGAAGGUUUAAGGGCUGCAGUAUUUUAACUGUACAAAGGUAGCAUAAUCAUUAGUCUUUUAAUUGAGGACUUGUAUGAAAGGUUAGACAAAUAAAUUCUGUUUCGGUUAUAAUAAUUGAAUUUGACUUUUUUGUUAAAAGGCAAAAAUAUAUUUAAAAGACAAGAAGACCCUUUAAAACUUGAUUUAAGUUGUUUACUUAGGGUUAUAUUAAUGAAACAAUAAGGGGGAAUUAGAUUUUAUUGGGGCGAUAGGCAUAUAAAUAACUAUGUAAUAUAUUAAUAAUGUAAUUAGCCAGUAAUGUGAACCCUAAUUAUUAGGGGUUGUUAAAAUAAGUUACUUAAGGGAUAACAGCGUAAUGUAUUUUAAGAGUUCAUAUUGACAAGUAUGUUUGCGA